rnacentral:lncRNA from 1 species
GGGCUCUGCCGGUGGCAACCUGGACGCGCUGCGGGCGCCGGCGAGACCUGCGCCAACGCCUACCUCCGGGCCACAGGCGGGAUAAAGCUGCCCCACUUUGCCCCCAGCGAAGAGAACCCUCCUUCCUCUAAGUAUUUUCUUCAGCAACUAAGCUUUUCUGUUUGCUCAAUUUCUUGUCCCGUGAGCGCUACCACCCACCCCCCGCCACCUUCUUCCCCUCCCCCCACAUCCGUUCACUCUCUUUGACCUUUUGCCAAAACUCUGAACGCUCGCUGCCCUCCCUCCCAUUUCCUCACCGCGUUUCAGGAGCUGUAAGUUCUUGGUGUUCAAACCCCCUACGGUUACGUAAACAGAACUCUGCAGUUAUCUUCUUUCCCUUUCUUCGGAGCUUUGUUUUCAAGUUCAUUAGAGACUUCCUGUGGGUGUAAUUACCGCUCUGCAGUUUUGAGCGCUGCCCACCUUCCCCCUGUUUUGUUAAAAAUGUCAUAGAUCUUUGGAGAUUUCUUUCACUUCUAAAGUUAUUACCUGUCUGCCUGCACAUCAAUCUUGUUGAUUUUAUUUCAGGGCAUUUUCCGGAGUGAACUUCUGCAUAGCGAUUUUUUUUGUCCCUCCCCACCCCCUCUUUGUUUUGCAGGAAGGUGAAAUAAGACAGAAGAAAAGGGUUAGAACUUUAGAACUCCAGGACCCAACCUCAGUCCUUUCAAGCACCGUCUGCAAACAGAUGCUGUGCUAGACUCAGCACCCUGUCUGGUGAAACUGCUCCUUGGGGUGACAUCGGUCGAAUGUGUGAGAGGCUUCAGCGGAUGCCCUGACUUUUACACCAUGGAAGGGCUUUCUCCUCACUCUCCAUUCUUCAUCCCACUCCAUCCAUGCGCUUUCUCCCCUCCCCAUGGGGUGGGGUGGGGGAGUCUUUCCUCCAGCUGAGAGCAGAGGCCUUGGCCAACUAGAUGUGUCUUCUGGGAUUUCACAGUCGGGCCACCUCUCACCUCUUGCACAGGCUGGUGGGUUAAAUGAAACUCCUGUAGCAACUCACAGAGCAUUUGAUUUAAAGCUAAGAUUUAUAGGAACUCACAAGUCAGAAUGGAACAAUAAUUUCCCUCCGGUUGCACUGCCACUACUGAGGAGCAAUCGCCUAAUUCCACACAGAGUUUGCUGAUUCUGUGGGCCUAACAGAGAACUCCAGAUGGGCAACUAGGAGCUAAGAAGUGCAUCCUAUGUCACCAGGAGCUAAUUUUCCCUGGAUUUUCAAAGAGGCCUCAUAUUUGACCCAUGUCAUGGCAGGGUGAAAUAUAAGUCCUUCCUGAACCCUUGGAAGCUGAACGUUGUGGACAUCAGCCAUGGGAAAUACAUUUCCUUUAAACUGAUCACCAGGCCUUAGUAUGAUCCAUGCCUUGAGUGGACAGAGACCUUUCAUGUUUGGUCAUUACUCAGCCAGACACUUCUCUGAGAGGUGAUGACUUCCCUAGGAAGGAAUAACAAAGCCCCUUUCAGGCUGUUGAUGGGCCCUGUCCACUUUAAUUUUGCAUUCAGCCUCGCUCAUUUCUGUGAGCUGAGAUUUUGAUUAUUCUGAUUUCCACGACUCCUUUUGUGAAACAGAGACACUGAGGUGAAUGCACGGGCCCAGUCCCCUCCUUUUUGAGUGUGCCCUCGGAAGCAGAGGCAGGUGGUGUUGCCGAAACACCCAGGUUCUGUCUAGGUCCUGCCGCUCCCUGCACAGAAAGCCAAUCACAGAGAUGACAAGUAUUGCCAAGGAAGAAGGCUUUAAUCAGGUGCUGUAGCUGAGAAGAUGGGAGCCCAGUCUCAAAUCCAUCUCCCCAUCCACCUAAAACUAGGGGUUUAUACACCAGGGAAGAAAGAUAACAGUGUGUAAGAAAACAGGAACUACGGAGGGGCAAGGAAGCAGUCACAAUGUAGGGUAUCUCAUUGUCUGGAUGUGUUGAUCUGUGAAAUAUGACAAACAGAGGAAAGUGCAUUAAAACCUGAGUGUUGACUGCUGGUUCCCCCAAGAUGGAGAGUCCCAUUCCUCCCAGACACUCCCUCUUACAGGUAAAAUAUCUGGACAUAACACAACAGACAGCAGAAGAAGACUCUGAAAGCUGGAGGAAGGAAGAAAAAAAGCCUAGGGACCUCAGACCUUGAAGAAUGACAGGUGUGAGUCCUUGGAUUUCCUUAUCACCCCCCACCCCACCCCGCCCUUACCCUGGAUGAGGCACUGCAGAAGCCUCCAACCAGAAACCACCAGCAGGCACAGACAAGCUCUAAGAAAGGCCUGGUCCCCCCUGGUCAAAGCACAGAGGAAAGGCUGGCCUGACAACAAAAGGAAACCUUUUUGGCAAUACCCACCCUAUCCCAGCAAAAGUCUAGUGGGCCUAACAGAACCUUCUAGCCCCACCUGUAGCCUCUGCUCUGCAGAAGCUGAUUGAGUGCUUGAACUCUCUGGCCUAGUAGGGUGAGCACUCGAGCUGGGAGCUAAUCCUCUGUUCCCUUGGCAGGGCAAACCCAAAUGGGUAAACACAAAAAAAAUAAUUAAACUUCUUAACAUCAUAAACACCCAAAACUACAAACAAAGGAGAAAAUAUUGAAAGAACCAGAGAGAAAUGAAGCAUUAUUCAUGAGGAAUAUUUGUUUGAAUGACAGUGGAUUUCUCAUCUUGAAACCAUGGAGGCCAAAAGGAAGAGGCACAACAUUUUUCAAGUUGAAGAUAGAACUUAGAAUCACAAAUCCAAUAGCCACUGAAAACGCCCUUCAGGAAUGAAGGAGAAAUCAGACAUUCUCAGAUGAAAGAAAACUUAAGAGAACUUAUUGCCAACCUAGAAGAAAUGUGCUAAUGUCAAGAAAGCUACAAACUACCAAACUCAACGAGGAUGAUAGAGACAACCUGAAUAGUUCCAUAGCUGCUACAGAAAUUAAAGUUAUAAGCAAACGGCUCACAAAAAAGAAAUCUUCAGAUGAAAAUACUUUAAGGAGUAUUAAUACCAAUUUUACACACUCUAUCUCAGAAAGUAAAAGAAAGAACGUUUCCUGGCUCAUUGUAUAAGGCUAGUAUUACCCUGAUACCAAAAUCAGGAAAAUGCAGUACAGAAAAGAAAGUUAUAGACCACUAUCUCUAUAAAUUUAGACACAAAAUUUAUCAACAAAAUUUUGUAAACCUAAUACAGCAUCGUAUAUAAAAAAUUAUAUACACCAUGAUGAAGUGGGAUUUAUUCCAUAUAUGCAAGUUUGGUUCAAUAUUCCAGAAUCAGUCAAUGUAAUUUACUCUGUUAACCAGGUAAAGAAUAAAAAUGAUUAUAUCAUUUGAUGCAGAAAAAAAGAUUAACACAAUCCUAUGCCCAUUCACGGUAAAAAGUCUCAGCAGACUAGGAAUGGCGGGGAGUGGUGGGGACAAUCCUAAGUUGAGAAAGAGCAUCUAUUUAAAAACCUAGGCUGGGCACAGUAGCUCAUGCCUGUAGUCCCAACACUUUGAGAGGCUGAGAUGGGCGGAUUGCUUGAGCCCAGAAGUUCAAAACUAGCCUGGGCAACAUGGCAAAACCCCGUCUCUUCAAAAAAUACAAAAAUCAGGCUGGGCAAGGUGGCUCACACUUGUAAUCCCAACACUUUGGGAGGUGGAGGUGGGCAGAUCACUUGAGGUCAGGAGUUUCAGACCAGCCUGGCCAACAUGGUGAGACCUCGUCUCUAACAAACAAUACAAAAAUUAGCUGGGCAUGGUGGUG